UCAUUGGAGGAAGUCAGGACAGGAACUCAAAUUCGACAGGAAGGUGGGUACAGGAGCUGAUACAGAGACCAUGCAGGGGUGCUGCUUACUGGCUUGCUCAGUCUGCUUUCUCAUAAAGCCAAGACCACCAGCCCAGGGACGGCACCAUGCACAACGGACUGGGCCCACCCCCAUCAGUCACUAAUUAAGAAAAUGCCCUACAGGCUUGUCUACAGCCUGGCCUUUUGGAGGUGUUUUUUUCAAUUGAAGCUCCCUCCUCUCAGAUGACUCUAGCUUGUGUCAAGUUCCUAUAUAACUAGACAGUACAACAAGUUACUUGCCUAUGCUUCAGAUUUAUUUAUUUUUGUGUGGUAUUAUGUGCGUGUGCAUGUGCAUGUACAUGUGCACACAUUUGUGUGCAAGCCAGAGUUCCUGGGAUCUGAAUGUCUCCACCCACUUCCUUCAGUGGGUUACAGGUGCAGAUGGCCAUACAUGGCUGCUUAUUUGUUUGCUUGGGAUUAGAACCCAGGUCUUUAUGCUUGUGCCGUGAGUCCACUGAGCCAUCUCCCCAGCCUCCUGUGUCUCGGUUUUCUAAUCAACAAAAAGAAGAAGAAGAAGAAGAAGAAGAAGAAGAAGAAGAAGAAGAAGAAGAAGAAGAAGAAGAAGAAGAAGAAGAAGAAGAAGAAGUCUAAGAUAUCUGCAAGAACACAGAGUGCUAGAGCCCGGAGACAGAAGGCAAUGCAUUUUCAGUCCCAUUGAUGUGAACUCUGCAGCCACAGGAAACAGGAAGCAGCCACACUCUGGAUCCAGCCUCUCCACUGACCACACCAUUAGAGAUUUGAAAUGUCUUUUGCUAAUCUGGACAGAUCAAACCCAGUGGGCAUUCUAGACAGAUCCGAGAAACUUCUCUUACCUGCAGAACUCAUGUCUACUCUGUUCCCUACUGGGCCAGCCGGCUUCUCAGAACACGAGCAGAAAACUGGGUUAGGGACGAAAAGACUUACUACCAAGAAACCAGCAGUAAUGCCAGAAAUGCUACAAGCAGACAAGCCCUACAUCAAGUUUUCAGGACACGAAAACUUGGCUUAAAGCCAUUUCUGAAUGAGCCAAAAAUAAUUGCCCAAGAGGCUUGGGAUAAAGCCAAGGAAAGCAGAGAGCAGAGCCACGGAAACAUGAAACCUAGAAAUGUGUUUGCCUCGAGGUUGGUCCUCCUGUCCUGUGCCCUAUCCAGAAGGAAAGGAGGUCGUCCCAGUGCCCCCGGAAAUCGUCGAAGGAACGGAAGGGACAGUCAGGCGGUGGAGUAUGAAGAACGUUUAUUAUCUGCCCCAUUUUCAUACUGUGAACAAGGAGAUUUGAUACAACGUUAUGCUGCUGCUUAAAUAAGGAACUUCCUGUUAAUUAUCUUGUAUUAGCUACUUUUCCAUUGCUGUGAUAAAGUAUCAUGACCAUUGUGGCUGACACAGCAGCAGGAGCAGGGAGGUGAGAGAUCCUAUUUUCAACCACAAACACAAAGCAGAAGUAGUGAACUGGAAAUACAGUGAGGUUUAGACUCUCAAA